rnacentral:rRNA from 1 species
CCUAUCAGCUUGUUGGUGGGGUAAUGGCCUACCAAGGCGACGACGGGUAGCCGACCUGAGAGGGUGACCGGCCACACUGGGACUGAGACACGGCCCAGACUCCUACGGGAGGCAGCAGUGGGGAAUAUUGCACAAUGGGCGAAAGCCUGAUGCAGCGACGCCGCGUGAGGGAUGAAGGCCUUCGGGUUGUAAACCUCUUUCAGCAGGGACGAAGCGCAAGUGACGGUACCUGCAGAAGAAGCACCGGCUAACUACGUGCCAGCAGCCGCGGUAAUACGUAGGGUGCGAGCGUUGUCCGGAAUUACUGGGCGUAAAGAGUUCGUAGGCGGUUUGUCGCGUCGUUUGUGAAAACCCGGGGCUCAACUUCGGGCUUGCAGGCGAUACGGGCAGACUUGAGUGUUUCAGGGGAGACUGGAAUUCC